rnacentral:rRNA from 1 species
UUAACUGAAAAUAGCUGCAAACCAGUUUGUCUUGGGCAGGUUUGGGCUGAAAUCUGGUCCUUCCGAGCCGGUAGCACAGACAGAGAAGGUGGGAGGCGAAUCUCGUGGAAUUCUCUCUCCACUGCUCGCCGGAAACCAAGAAAUCGCCAACCCACGAAUCUUCCCUCACAACCAGUCCACACCGCCGCGCCAAGUCCCGAUCUUGCCGGCCGAGCUGCACUCCGGCCGUCCCCAGUUCCCCGGCUCGACCCUCCCGCCACGAAUUCGGACGGCUCGUCCACCCUGGCAGUCGCUCACCUGCAGCAAAUGGAAUCAGGUGAAAACAACAUGGGCUCGAAUGAUGGACCAAACAGCAAAGCUAGCUUGGCUGCGAGGCAACGCUUACGGUGGACAGAUGAGUUGCAUGAACAAUUUGUGGAGGCUGUUACUCAACUUGGCGGUCCUGAUAGAGCAACUCCUAAAGGAGUUUUGAGAAUUAUGGGUACACCAGGAUUAACAAUAUACCAUGUGAAAAGUCACUUGCAGAAAUACAGGCUAGCAAAGUACAUUCCUGACUCUUCAGCUGAUGGUAACAAGGCUGAUAACAAAGAUCCAGGGGAUUCGCUAGCAGGACUUGAUGGAUCCUCUGGAAUGCAGAUAUCUGAAGCCCUGAAGCUGCAGAUGGAGGUCCAAAAGCGGUUGCAUGAACAGCUUGAAGUACAAAGGCAGCUGCAGCUGCGAAUCGAGGCACAGGGAAAGUACCUUAAGAAAAUCAUAGAAGAGCAGCAGCGUUUCGGUGGCGGUGGUAUAAAGUCUGAAACACCUGGUGCAGGAGCUACUGUCACAGCGUCGAGCGAUCAGUUCCCCGACUCUGAGAGGACAGACCCCUCAACUCCUGCACCCACAUCUGAAUCUGCAUCUCAAGGUGCAGCUUUCAAAAGAGACAGUGGAAGCCAGACUGAAGCAAUCAAGAGCCCAUGUCACGAUGAACCGCUGCUAACAGCAGAUUCCAACUGUCAUCCCGGUUCUCCUACUCUCAGUCCGAAGCACGAGAGGGCAGCAAAGAGGCAGCGAGGCAGCGAGGCUGAAUUCCCGGAGGCCGAGUUAUCCCUUCCGCAGCAUAUCUUCGAGUCGAGCUCGGGGCCGGAGUUCCAGCAAUGUGCGGUGCCCUACUACUCGGGUCAUUAGCCUCCCGGCAGCUACAUUUUGGCAGCAUCUUAGAAUGGUGUCAUCUAAGGGGAUAUGUUGUAUGUUGACAAAAGUUGUUAGGUGUUUUCAGGUGGUUGUUUACAUGAUGCAUACUUACACAUGACAUCUAUAUCUUGCAUUUGUAGCGCCUUGACUUGUAACCUUAUUGGCAGAUGAGUUGACCAGUUUGGGUGGGGUGGGCACUGUUAGCCUGUUUUUUACAUGCUAUGUUUUCUACUCUUGUUCUUGAGUCUUAACACCAAGUUUAUCUUGCUAUGCAAUUUGUUAUGAGGAUGAUUGAUGGUCAGAAAUAAGACGAUUAGCAGUGUUUUCAUGUCAA